rnacentral:rRNA from 1 species
UACGUAGGGUGCAAGCGUUGUCCGGAAUUAUUGGGCGUAAAGAGCUCGUAGGCGGUCUGUCGCGUCUGCUGUGAAAACUCAGGGCUUAACCCUGAGCUUGCAGUGGGUACGGGCAGACUAGAGUGCGGUAGGGGAGACUGGAAUUCCUGGUGUAGCGGUGAAAUGCGCAGAUAUCAGGAGGAACACCGGUGGCGAAGGCGGGUCUCUGGGCCGUAACUGACGCUG